rnacentral:rRNA from 1 species
UACGUAGGGGGCAAGCGUUGUCCGUAAUCAUUGGGCGUAAAGAGCGUGUAGGCGGCUCGAUAAGUCCGCUGUGAAAGUCCAGGGCUCAACCCUGGAAGGCCGGUGGAAACUGUCGGGCUAGAGUCCGGAAGAGGCGAGUGGAAUUCCCGGUGUAGCGGUGAAAUGCGCAGAUAUCGGGAGGAACACCAAUGGCGAAGGCAGCUCGCUGGGACGGUACUGACGCUGAGACGCGAAAGCGUGGGGAGCAAACAGG